GGAUGGUUGACUGAGUGGUUUAAAGUGUGAUAUUUGAG
rnacentral:tRNA from 1 species